rnacentral:rRNA from 1 species
AGGUUAAGCAAAGAAGGGCACAGGGCGGAUGCCUUGGCACUGAGAGCCGAUGAAAGACGCGAUAAGCUGCGAAAAGCUGCGGAGAGGAGCACAUAUCCAGUGACCCGCAGGUGUCUGAAUGGGGAAACCCACAUGAGCAGCCCUCAUGUACCGUACAGUGAAUCCAUAGCUGUACGGGGGGAACCCGGUGAACUGAAACAUCUAAGUAGCCGGAGGAAAAGAAAGAAAAUUUUCGAUUUCCAAAGUAGCGGCGAGCGAAAUGGAAAGAGCCCAAACCGCCAUGCGUGCAUGGCGGGGUUCGGACUGCAUAAGUGAUUCCCGAUUGUUAGCCAAACGGUCCUGGAAAGACCGGCCAGAGAGGGUGAAAGCCCCGUAGGCGAAAACGAAAGGGACACGGCAGGAUCCAGAGUACCACGGGACACGRGAAACCCUGUGGGAAYGAGCGGGGACCACCCCGUAAGGCUAAAUACUGCUCAGUGACCGAUAGCGCACAGUACUGUGAAGGAAAGGUGAAAAGAACCCCGGGAGGGGAGUGAAAGAGAACCUGAAACCCUGUGUCUACAAGCUGUGGAAGUGCCUUAUGAGCACAACCGCGUACUUUUUGUAGAACGGUCCGGCGAGUUGCGCAGACUGGCAAGGUUAAGCGUCCCAGACGCGGAGCCAAAGAGAAAUCAAGUCUUAACAGGGCCACAGUCAGCCGGCGCAGACCCGAAACCGGGUGAUCUAUCCAUGUCCAGGAUGAAGCUGCCGUAAAAGGCAGUGGAGGUCCGAACGCACAUCCGUUGAAAAGGGUGGCGAUGAGGUGUGGAUAGGGGAGAAAUUCCAAUCGAACCCGGAGAUAGCUGGUUCUCCCCGAAACAGCUUUAGGGCUGGCCUCACGGGAGUCAUAUGGAGGUAGAGCACUGAAUACCCGCGGGGGCGUCAAAGCUUACCAAAGGUUAUCAAACUCCGAAUGCCAUUAUGAUGCUCCGUGGGAGUCAGACUGCACGAGAUAAGUCGGGCAGUCAAAAGGGAAAGAGCCCAGACCCGCGGCUAAGGUCCCAAAGUGUGUGUUAAGUGGAAAAGGAUGUGGGAUUUCRAAGACAGCUAGGAUGUUGGCUCAGAAGCAGCCACACAUUCAAAGAGUGCGUAACAGCUCACUAGUCGAGAGGUCCCGCGCCGAAAAUGUCCGGGGCUGAAACACACCGCCGAAGCCCGGGAACCGCGCAUGCGGUUGGUAGGGGAGCAUUGUUAAUCCGCCGAAGCUGUACCGGCAAGGAGCAGUGGAGGAUUAAGAAGAGAGAAUGCCGGAAUGAGUAGCGAGAAAGAGGUGGGAAUCCUCUUGGCCGAAUAUCCAAGGUUUCCGGGGUAAAGCUGAUCUGCCCCGGGUAAGUCGGGACCUAAGGCGAGGCUUAACAGCGUAGCCGAUGGACAGCAGGUGGAAAUUCCUGCACUGCGGCAUAACAGAACUGYGGGGACGCAUAUGGAGGGCAUGUGCCGGGAAAGGAAAAACCGGUGCAAGCGCAGCAGGAGCAUGGGAGGAAAAGCCCCCAUGGGGAUCCAGGGCGUGACGCGGAGCGAAUUAAAGUAGCGAAGCAUGCAGCACAUGUGCCGAGAAAAGCCGCUAUUGUUUAUGCCGUACCCGUACCGUAAACCGACACAGGUGGAUGGGGAGAGAAUCCCAAGGCCGACGGGAGAAGCACUGUCAAGGAACUCGGCAAAAUGGCCCCGUAACUUAGGGAGAAGGGGCGCCAUCGAAAGAUGGCCGCAGAGAACAGGCCCAAGCAACUGUUUAGCAAAAACACAGGUCUAUGCGAAACCGAAAGGUGAGGUAUAUGGGCUGACGCCUGCCCGGUGCCGGAAGGUUAAGAGGAGAGGUCAGCAGAAAUGCGAAGCCUUGAAUUGAAGCCCCGGUAAACGGCGGCCGUAACUAUAACGGUCCUAAGGUAGCGAAAUUCCUUGUCGGGUAAGUUCCGACCCGCACGAAAGGCGUAAUGAUUUGGGCGCUGUCUCGACAGUGCACCCGGUGAAAUUGAAGUGCCAGUGAAGAUGCUGGCUACCCGCGCCAGGACGGAAAGACCCCAUGGAGCUUUACUCCAGCUUGGCACUGGGAUCUGGUGCCGGAUGUACAGGAUAGGUGGGAGGCUWUGAAGUGCGGACGCCAGUCUGCACGGAGCCGCUGUUGGGAUACCACCCUUCCGGCACCGGGUUUCUAACCCGCGCCCGUAACCCGGGCGGGGGACAAUGCCUGGCGGGGAGUUUGACUGGGGCGGUCGCCUCCGAAAGGGUAUCGGAGGCGCUCAAAGGUUCCCUCAGAAUGGACGGAAACCAUUCGGAGAGCGCAAAGGCAKAAGGGAGCCUGACUGCGACACCGACGGGUGGAGCAGGUACGAAAGUAGGACUUAGUGAUCCGGUGGCAUAAAGUGGGAUUGCCAUCGCUCAACGGAUAAAAGCUACCCUGGGGAUAACAGGCUGAUCACUCCCAAGAGUUCACAUCGACGGAGUGGUUUGGCACCUCGAUGUCGGCUCAUCGCAUCCUGGGGCUGUAGCAGGUCCCAAGGGUUGGGCUGUUCGCCCAUUAAAGCGGUACGCGAGCUGGGUUCAGAACGUCGUGAGACAGUUCGGUCCCUAUCCGGCGCGGGCGUAGGAUAACUGAGGGGAGCUGUCCUUAGUACGAGAGGACCGGGAUGGACGGACCGCUGGUGUACCUGUUGGCGACCAACGCCACGGCAGGGUAGCCAAGUCCGGCAGGGAUAAACGCUGAAGGCAUCUAAGCGUGAAGCCUCCCCCGAGAUGAGUUGWCCGCUGGUGUACCUGUUGGCGACCAACGCCACGGCAGGGUAGCCAAGUCCGGCAGGGAUAAACGCUGAAGGCAUCUAAGCGUGAAGCCUCCCCCGAGAUGAGUURUCCGCUGCGUAAGCGGUAAGACCCCUUGAAGACUACAAGGUAGAUAGGGCAUGGGUGUAAGUGCAGCAAUGUAUUAAGCUGAAUGCCACUAAUAGGUCGAAAGCUUAUCCUG